GGUUAAGUUAGAAAGGGCGCACGGUGAAUGCCUUGGCACUAGGAGCCGAUGAAGGACGGGACUAACACCGAUAUGCUUCGGGGAGCUGUAAGUGAGCUUUGAUCCGGAGAUUUCCGAAUGGGGAAACCCACUGUUCGUAAUGGAACAGUAUCUUUAUCUGAAUACAUAGGAUAUUGAAGGCAGACCCGGGGAACUGAAACAUCUAAGUACCCGGAGGAAGAGAAAGCAAAUGCGAUUUCCUGAGUAGCGGCGAGCGAAACGGAAUUAGCCCAAACCAAGAGGCUUGCCUCUUGGGGUUGUAGGACACUCUAUACGGAGUUACAAAGGAACGAAGUAAAUGAAGCGACCUGGAAAGGUCCGUCGAAGAAGGUAACAACCCUGUAGUUGAAACUUCGUUCCCUCUUGAGUGGAUCCUGAGUACGGCGGAACACGUGAAAUUCCGUCGGAAGCUGGGAGGACCAUCUCCCAAGGCUAAAUACUACCUAGUGACCGAUAGUGAACCAGUACCGUGAGGGAAAGGUGAAAAGCACCCCGGAAGGGGAGUGAAAGAGAUCCUGAAACCGUGUGCCUACAAGUAGUCAGAGCCCGUUAACGGGUGAUGGCGUGCCUUUUGUAGAAUGAACCGGCGAGUUACGAUCCCAUGCAAGGUUAAGCUGAUAAGGCGGAGCCGUAGCGAAAGCGAGUCUGAAUAGGGCGUUUAGUAUGUGGUUGUAGACCCGAAACCAGGUGAUCUACCCAUGUCCAGGGUGAAGUUCAGGUAACACUGAAUGGAGGCCCGAACCCACGCACGUUGAAAAGUGCGGGGAUGAGGUGUGGGUAGCGGAGAAAUUCCAAUCGAACCUGGAGAUAGCUGGUUCUCUCCGAAAUAGCUUUAGGGCUAGCCUCAUGUUGUGAGAGUCUUGGAGGUAGAGCACUGAUUGGACUAGGGGCCCCCAACGGGUUACCGAAUUCAGUCAAACUCCGAAUGCCAAAGACUUAUCCAUGGGAGUCAGACUGCGAGUGAUAAGAUCCGUAGUCAAAAGGGAAACAGCCCAGACCACCAGCUAAGGUCCCCAAGUAUACGUUAAGUGGAAAAGGAUGUGGAGUUGCUUAGACAACCAGGAUGUUGGCUUAGAAGCAGCCACCAUUUAAAGAGUGCGUAAUAGCUCACUGGUCGAGUGACUCUGCGCCGAAAAUGUACCGGGGCUAAACGUAUCACCGAAGCUGUGGAUUGACAUCUUAGAUGUCAGUGGUAGGAGAGCGUUCUAAGUGCAGCGAAGUCAGACCGUAAGGACUGGUGGAGCGCUUAGAAGUGAGAAUGCCGGUAUGAGUAGCGAAAGACAAGUGAGAAUCUUGUCCACCGAAUGCCUAAGGUUUCCUGAGGAAGGCUCGUCCGCUCAGGGUUAGUCGGGACCUAAGCCGAGGCUGAAAAGCGUAGGCGAUGGCCAACAGGUUGAUAUUCCUGUACCACCUCCCCGCCGUUUGAGUAAUGGGGGGACGCAGUAGGAUAGGGUAAGCGCGCUGCUGGAUAUGCGCGUUCAAGCAGUUAGGCUGAUGAGUAGGCAAAUCCGCUCAUCAUAAAGGCUGAGCUGUGAUGACGAGGGAAUUAUAGUACCGAAGUUCCUGAUUCCACACUGCCAAGAAAAGCCUCUAGCGAGGCGGGAGGUGCCCGUACCGCAAACCGACACAGGUAGGCGAGGAGAGAAUCCUAAGGUGAUCGAGAGAACUCUCGUUAAGGAACUCGGCAAAAUGACCCCGUAACUUCGGGAGAAGGGGUGCUCUGGUAGGGUGUAUAGCCCGAGAGAGCCGCAGUGAAUAGGCCCAGGCGACUGUUUAGCAAAAACACAGGUCUCUGCGAAGCCGCAAGGCGAAGUAUAGGGGCUGACGCCUGCCCGGUGCUGGAAGGUUAAGAGGAGGGGUUAUCCUUUGGGAGAAGCUCUGAAUCGAAGCCCCAGUAAACGGCGGCCGUAACUAUAACGGUCCUAAGGUAGCGAAAUUCCUUGUCGGGUAAGUUCCGACCCGCACGAAAGGCGUAACGAUCUGGGCACUGUCUCAACGAGAGACUCGGUGAAAUUAUAGUACCUGUGAAGAUGCAGGUUACCCGCGACAGGACGGAAAGACCCCGUGGAGCUUUACUGUAGCCUGAUAUUGAAUUUUGGUACAGCUUGUACAGGAUAGGUAGGAGCCUGAGAAGCCGGAGCGCUAGCUUCGGUGGAGGCGUCGGUGGGAUACUACCCUGGCUGUAUUGAAAUUCUAACCCGCGGCCCUGAUCGGGCCGGGAGACAGUGUCAGGUGGGCAGUUUGACUGGGGCGGUCGCCUCCUAAAAUGUAACGGAGGCGCCCAAAGGUUCCCUCAGAAUGGUUGGAAAUCAUUCGUAGAGUGUAAAGGCACAAGGGAGCUUGACUGCGAGACCUACAAGUCGAGCAGGGACGAAAGUCGGGCUUAGUGAUCCGGUGGUUCCGCAUGGAAGGGCCAUCGCUCAACGGAUAAAAGCUACCCCGGGGAUAACAGGCUUAUCUCCCCAAGAGUCCACAUCGACGGGGAGGUUUGGCACCUCGAUGUCGGCUCAUCGCAUCCUGGGGCUGUAGUCGGUCCCAAGGGUUGGGCUGUUCGCCCAUUAAAGCGGUACGCGAGCUGGGUUCAGAACGUCGUGAGACAGUUCGGUCCCUAUCCGUCGUGGGCGUAGGAAAUUUGAGAGGAGCUGUCCUUAGUACGAGAGGACCGGGAUGGACACACCGCUGGUGUACCAGUUGUCUUGCCAAAGGCAUCGCUGGGUAGCUAUGUGUGGACGGGAUAAGUGCUGAAAGCAUCUAAGCAUGAAGCCCCCUCAAGAUGAGAUUUCCCAUAGCGCAAGCUAGUAAGAUCCCUGAAAGAUGAUCAGGUUGAUAGGUCAGAGGUGGAAGCGUGGCGACAUGUGUAGCUGACUGAUACUAAUCGAUCGAGGACUUAACCAA
rnacentral:rRNA from 1 species